CCGACUGUUCGUUCUCGGCAAGUUCUCUAAUAGCAACUCUCGCAGCUUCUGCAGCGGCUCUCUUUGGUCUUGGGUGGAAGUCUGUGGCAUCAGGGUUCAGUUGUGGGUUGUUGUUUAAAUCGCAAGACAAUUCAAGGGGAAAUAAAUGUUGGACUGCUCUCUCCAAUGUACCCUUGCCUGUUUUCAACACUGCUCCCCGUACAACUCCGUCCUUUCCCGUAAUUAAUCUUGUCACAACAGCAGUUCUCCACGUAUUCCUUGGUUUGUUUUCUUCUCGAACAAUCACGACUUCUCCGAUCUUCGGAUGCACAGCAUUCUUGUUUCCAGUUUGGCGGUGUUGUUCACGCAGGCCACGGACAUAUUCACGACUCCAUCUGUCCCAUACUGCUUGUUUGCAUCUUCGAAAGAACCUUGCACGUUUUCUCAAAUCUUUCUCGGCAAUGUGAUGUGCCUCUUCUUCAGGAACGUACGUUGCAUUGACCUGAAGCAACGAGUUAGGUGUCAGCGCUGGUAAUUCAAUAUCGUCCUCGAGAUAUGUUAGCGGUCGGUUAUUUAACGCUACUUCUACGUCGAGUAUGACAUCCUCCAACUCAGACCAUUUCAGAGUUCCGUUACCGACGGAUUUGUAGAACGCAUUCUUGAACAAGCCUAUAAGUCUCUCGAAUUGGCCCCCCCACCAAGG